CAGUCGCCGCGGGAAUACAGAGGGUGCAAGCGUUAAUCGGAAUUACUGGGCGUAAAGCGCGCGUAGGUGGUUUGUUAAGUUGGAUGUGAAAUCCCCGGGCUCAACCUGGGAACUGCAUCCAAAACUGGCAAGCUAGAGUAUGGUAGAGGGUGGUGGAAUUUCCUGUGUAGCGGUGAAAUGCGUAGAUAUAGGAAGGAACACCAGUGGCGAAGGCGACCACCUGGACUGAUACUGACACUGAGGUGCGAAAGCGUGGGGAGCAAACAGGAUUAGAUACCCCUGUAGUCCCUGUCUCUAUACA
rnacentral:rRNA from 1 species